rnacentral:rRNA from 1 species
GACGAACGCUGGCGGCGUGCUUAACACAUGCAAGUCGAACGGAAAGGCCCUGCUUUUGUGGGGUGCUCGAGUGGCGAACGGGUGAGUAACACGUGAGUAACCUGCCCUUGACUUUGGGAUAACUUCAGGAAACUGGGGCUAAUACCGGAUAGGAGCUCCUGCUGCAUGGUGGGGGUUGGAAAGUUUCGGCGGUUGGGGAUGGACUCGCGGCUUAUCAGCUUGUUGGUGGGGUAGUGGCUUACCCAGGCUUUGACGGGUAGCCGGCCUGAGAGGGUGAGCGGCCGCCUUGGGACUGAGAUAAGGCACAGACGCGUACGGGAGGCAGCAGUGGGGAAUAUUGCACAAUGGGCGGAAGCCGGAUGCAGCAACGCCGCGUGCGGGAUGGCGGCCUUCGGGGUGUGAACCGCUUGCGCCUGUGACGAAGCGUGUGUGACGGUAAUGGGUAAAGAAGCACCGGCUAACUACGUG